rnacentral:tRNA from 7 species
GGAGACGUCGCAUAGCCCGGUCGAGUGCGCCUCACUGCUAACGAGGUAAGGGGUUAAACCCUUCAGGAGUUCAAAUCUCCUCGUCUCCGCCA